UCGAUGAAUGUAUUUGGGAGUAGGC
rnacentral:piRNA from 1 species